UACGUAGGGCGCGAGCGUUGUCCGGAAUUAUUGGGCGUAAAGAGCUCGUAGGCGGCUUGUCACGUCGGGUGUGAAAGACCGGGGCUUAACUCCGGUUCUGCAUUCGAUACGGGCUAGCUAGAGUGUGGUAGGGGAGAUCGGAAUUCCUGGUGUAGCGGUGAAAUGCGCAGAUAUCAGGAGGAACACCGGUGGCGAAGGCAGGUCUCUGGGCCGAUACUGACGCUGAGGAGCGAAAGCGUGGGGAGCGAACAGG
rnacentral:rRNA from 1 species